UACGUAGGCGGAAAAUUAAGUCAGUAGUGAAAUCCUGCAGCUUAACUGUAGAACUGUUAUUGAUACUGGUUUUCUUGAAUAUAGUUGAGGUAAGCGGAAUGUGUAAUGUAGCGGUGAAAUGCUUAGAUAUUACACAGAACACCGAUUGCGAAGGCAGCUUACUAAGCUAUGAUUGACGCUCAUGCACGAAAGCGUGGGGAGCAAACAGGAUUAGAUACCCUGGUAGUCC
rnacentral:rRNA from 1 species